GUAAGCCUUGGUCGAUUGCUCAGCGGAGAAAGUAAAAAGCAAAAGUAAGCUCAGUCGUCCUCAUAAAUCUCCAUCAUAACGGGAACGAGAUCAGAGAAGUGAGUUCAUCUAUUCUGCUGAAUUCCUCGGUCCGGAGGCAAGGU